rnacentral:rRNA from 1 species
GAUGAACGCUGGCGGCGUGCCUAAUACAUGCCAGUCGAGCGAACAGACGAGGAGCUUGCUCCUCUGACGUUAGCGGCGGACGGGUGAGUAACACGUGGAUAACCUACCUAUAAGACUGGGAUAACUUCGGGAAACCGGAGCUAAUACCGGCUCAUAUAUUGAACCGCAUGGUUCAAUAGUGAAAGACGGUUUUGCUGUCACUUAUAGAUGGAUCCGCGCCGCAUUAGCUAGUUGGUAAGGUAACGGCUUACCAAGGCAACGAUGCGUAGCCGACCUGAGAGGGUGAUCGGCCACACUGGAACUGAGACACGGUCCAGACUCCUACGGGAGGCAGCAGUAGGGAAUCUUCCGCAAUGGGCGAAAGCCUGACGGAGCAACGCCGCGUGAAUGAUGAAGGUCUUCGGAUCGUAAAACUCUGUCAUUAGGGAAGAACAAAUGUGUAAGUAACUAUGCACGUCUUGACGGUACCUAAUCAGAAAGCCACGGCUAACUACGUG